rnacentral:rRNA from 1 species
GCGAGUGAAGCGGCAAAAGCUCAAAUUUGAAAUCUGGCACCUUCGGUGUCCGAGUUGUAAUUUGAAGAAGGUAACUUUGGAGUUGGCUCUUGUCUAUGUUCCUUGGAACAGGACGUCACAGAGGGUGAGAAUCCCGUGCGAUGAGAUGCCCAAUUCUAUGUAAAGUGCUUUCGAAGAGUCGAGUUGUUUGGGAAUGCAGCUCUAAGUGGGUGGUAAAUUCCAUCUAAAGCUAAAUAUUGGCGAGAGACCGAUAGCGAACAAGUACAGUGAUGGAAAGAUGAAAAGAACUUUGAAAAGAGAGUGAAAAAGUACGUGAAAUUGUUGAAAGGGAAGGGCUUGAGAUCAGACUUGGUAUUUUGCAAGCUUUACCUUCGUGGUGGAGUCCCCUGCAGUUUACUGGGCCAGCAUCGGUUUGGAUGGUAGGAUAAUGACUUGGGAAUGUGGCUUUGCUUCGGUAAAGUGUUAUAGCCCUUGUUGAUGCUACCUGUCUAGACCGAGGACUGCGUCUUUGACUAGGAUGUUGGCAUAAUGAUCUUAAGUCGCCC